rnacentral:lncRNA from 1 species
GAAAAAAAAAAAAAAAAAAAAGAACAAAAGAAUCGAAAAACCUCUCCCAGUCAUUAUCGUCGCCUCCAAACAAUGUCGUCCCGAUUCCCGUAGACAAGGGGCCCCAGGGUUAAAGGGCCCAGAAAGAGGGAAAACUCGCCGGCUGGAUUUGCCUCAUUAACAGGGACGCGAGUUCUGAAUCGCGUAGUCGAGGCCUGCAUCAAAGCAUCGCAUUCAGUUUACCCAAAACAAUUACCGGCAAACCGAACGCCUUUUCUCCGCGCAAGCAGAUCAAAGGCGCGCCCGUGGUCGUCAUUAAGCAACGAGACGUCAUUAAGCUUUUCGGAUAGCGGCACUUUAAAUCAUCGGGGGCACGCGUAUACCCGACGCGCUUACGUUGUUCAACGGAAUCGUUCAAGGCACUCGCCCACUCGACAGGGCAGCUACCGCCCUCUCGACGAGCCUCUAAUCCAUUGUAACUAAAGAUCAAAAAAAAAAAAAAAAAAAAAAGAAAAGAAAAAGAAAAGAGAGAACGAGAGGAAACUGUCGAUUUUACCCAAUGCAAAUACUCGCCCCUCAACCGACCGGCAGCAGCAAUUCCUUGUGACUCGCGACCGACCUCGCAGAGUCAAGUAGUGGGGGGAAUGGGAAGAAAAAGAAACGAACACUUGAGGGGUUACGCGAGUGCGCCUCGCAACGCUUGGAAGUUCGAGGAGCUUUUGGUCGAGGCAGAAGAAUAGGAAAGAGCUAACGCGGACGGAGGAGGACGGCACGUGUUGAAUUUCUCUCUCUCUCUCUCUCUUUCCUUCUUUCUUCCUCCUUCCCCCUCCUUUCUCUCGCCCAAUGUGUCUCACUACCGCCCUCUGCACAGCGCGCCCCGUCAACGGCGACGAUUCGAGUCCUCUCGUUUCUCGCUCUCUUUUGCGGACAGAGUCGCGCGUAUUUGUUUUCCGCGCCCUAACAACCGGGCCGGGGACGGUAGCCGGCUCUCUUCAAGCCGAGUACACAAGGAGAAACGCCGUGAACCUCGGCGGACGCGUGUAUGGACUCGGCCUGGCCGAGUAUCACCGUGUUGUGUGUGCGUCGAGUUAGAGGAUGUUUCAGAAGCGGAGGAGGGUCGAAGAAGAACGAGAGAGAGAGAGAGAAAUAUUUUUCUUGAACAGUCAGAGAAGCAAUAAAACGCUGAGGGAUAGGAGAAUCACUAUCCAGCCCCUUCCGGUUCCAUGGAUGCGAGUGUUUAGUGCGAACGCACCCUUACGCUAGAAGCAGACAGGGGAAGGAAGCUAGGAAAAUCGACGGAGGGUGAUUCGAAAAGGGACGAAAAAAUUGAAGUUGGAAAAUGAAGAAGUGAACGGAACGUUAUAUAGAAACUGUGAAAAAGAUAAGAAAAAUAAAAAAAAAAACGAAAAGAUAAAAGGAAACUUAAUAAAAAUUAUAAAAUAAAAAAGAGGAAUAAAAAUAUGGAAAAUUUAAGAAAAAAAAUCUUCAACGAUAAUGAAAUUGAAAAUUGAAAGUGUGAAUAAAAACAUUGCCAGAAAAUCUAGAUAUUAUAUUAUUUGUGCAUAAUAUAAUAUGUAUAAUAAGUUGAAAAAUAAAAAUAAAUGGAAAAACGAAAAGAUGUGGAAGAAUUUAACAAUCAUAAAAUGAGAAAGGAAGAAUAAAAAAUAAAUACGCGAAAAAUUUCGAAGAGAGUUUUGAAAAACGAUAAAAAAGAGUAGAAAGAAAUGAAAGGAACAGAAGCAAAAGAGAGCAAAUAAGAAUUACAACGAUGGAAGUCAAUGGACGAAAUAAUGAGAGAACAAUAACGUAGGAAUGUCCGUAUGUGAGACAGUGUUCAGUGGAGAGUGACCGAAAACAAGAGAAAGAGCGCGUACGUGACGUAGAAGAGGGAAUAAGGAAGAGAAGCCAGACGACAAAGAGAGAAAUAGUAGACAGGGUGGCCAAAAUGCAGCGAGGGUGAAGACACGCGAGGGCUGUUAGACCGUCAAUCGAUAAAUUCCUCCGGCAAGGAAGAGGGGUCACGAUACGUGCUGAUGUCGCGAAAAGGUUCUUCCUUGCAAACACUUGAAGUGAACUUCACACUUCAGAAAGGUGAGAGAAAAAGAUGGAAGGGGGUGGUCUCUCUUCUAGUUGCACUUUAUGCAGUUUCGCGCCCUCUCGAAAAGGGCAGAUCUCUAUAUUCUCUUUCUCUGUCUUGUUAAAAGGGAAGAUCGUCCAUCGAUCCGUAAUACGAAUGAACACAGUGAACGUUCUCGUAGUGACAGAAUGCCUUGCCUGUUGGCUAAUUAUCCCCUCGUUGGUCGUUUAACGCAUCGAUUCCUUCUUCCGGAAGAGCGGAGAACGAACAAAACAUUAUAGUAAUAUCGGUCGAGUGUAAUAGAAUCGUUAGAGAGAAUUUCACCCUAUCUACUCUCGAAUUCGAUAUCGUUUUCGAUGAUAAAAGAACAAAACUAAUGCGAGUAGAGAAGAAAAAAGUGUACGAUGAAGUUAAUUUACGAUCGAAUUUGAAUUAUCUAAUUCUGUAUCUUGAAAUUAUAAAAUAUGAUAUAAUGCAAG